rnacentral:lncRNA from 1 species
CUAAGAGUCUUUGCUGGGAUAGAAGAUUUGGGCCAUGAGGUGCCUCAGGGAAGUUCUGGUUACAGAGAAAAUGGUGAGUCCCUCAGAGAAGAAGCAAGACCAAGUCUGGCCCUAUCCUUGGUCAUCUCAAAGCCAUGCUGAAGCAUUCAGUUAUUCUUGGUGUGCAUUGGAGGCCAUCCAGCCAACCCCAUACCAGCAGCCAGUCACCAGAUGUGAACGUGGAAGCAGAAGGCCACCUCCUGUUGGUAGUCCUCUUUCUUCUUUCUCUUCAGAACUGCCACUAUUAAAGACCCAGCUUCUCAUUUUUCAGACAUUUUCUCUGAAACUCUCUGCUGGCCUGCUGAGCCACGUGGAUCCAUUCUGCCAUUGAGGAGUUGUGCAUCGAGGUCCCUCUUCCUAAAGGAUGAGGUGGGGGAGUAGCAGGAGAACAGAGAGAAAGGGGAAACUUCCUUAGUCAUGUUGGUAUCUGCAGGCUCCUAGGAAGCCCUGGGCCUUAGUUUGAUUGCGUACCCUGGGUGGGGGGGAUGCUGGUCAUACCCAGUCAAGAGGUCUGCUACUAGGACGGUCAGCGCCCUAGAUAUUGGCCGUACUCACCACUUCAGUCAGGAAGACAUUUCUGUCCUGGGGGGGGAUCAACUCAGUGAGACCCUUGGAAGAUACAAAAGCCAAGGGGGAUAUUAGAGUUGCUUAGCUUAUUUAGGUAAAGAUUUAGGGGAAAAUCAGUAAUGACAAGUAAGAAUGAGAAUCUUCUCUUGGUUUUCAUUGAGGAUAGAGUAAGAGAAUGAGUUGAAUUGCUACAAAAGAAAUUAGUGUAGAUGCCAGGAAGGACUUCCAAUUCUGAAGAUUGGUCAGUGUCUCCCUUCUAGAUAUCUAGGAAAGAUUUGAUAACAGUUGUUUGUGAGUAGAAAAGGAGGUAUGAUGUUUUUAUUGGCCAUUUUGUGAUACUAUUUGACAUCUCUUGAGGAUACAUUCUGAUUCCAUCCUGGAGAGAUCCAAGUGCUUUUGUACUGUCUUCUUAGCUGCCUUAGUAGUGAACCAUCAUCAGCUCAAUGGACAAAAUCCACCUUCAGCCACGUGGUUUCUUCAUCCAUGGGUAUCUUUCAGUUGACAAAAAGUUAUGACUCUCAGACAUAAAAAGCUACACUGGGAAAUGAACUGUAAGUGAAGUUAGUUUUAGAAUGUAGUUUAAACUACUUUUGCAUUUUUUCUCUUCUUUGUUGCAAUGAAUGUCAAGGGUCUAAGUGCCCGUGCAUAUAGACCUUCCCUGCCUUUGUGCACAGAAUGUGACCAGCCAGCCCAUUAGCACCCAGAAAACCCAAGCCUCUCAGUUUUCCAUCCUGGAAAAUCUUUGUACAGUGGGAAGAUCCCCUAGUGUGCUGUCCUUUUAUAGGUGAGGAGUUGGCUGCAUCACUUUGUUGAAUGUUGCAUUCUUUAGACUCUUAAAAUAUAUUAAGGUAUUCUAGUCUUACUGUAAUGACCUUUGAUUGAUGUCAAAGGAACCCUGCAUUUUCCCCAUAUUUCCCUAUCUCUUAAGACCACAGUUAUUUUAAUGCAGAGACGAUUUUCAAGAUAUUUAACAACUGUUACAGGACAGACACCAACCACUCGGAACAGGUACCUGCUAUGAACAAACACUAUGAUUGCACCAGUGCCUAUUGGCUGAAUGUCACACUGCUUUCAAAUAUUAAAAUGGCAUCCCACUAAAUUGUAGAGUUCCUAGUUUGUCUGAUUUGUAUUCACAAGGCUGUUCUAGGACAGCCUUGGCUUUCUUUCACGUGGUGCAGACAGGAUCAGGCAUGUUUCUUUAAAAUAUAUGGGCAUUAAAAUCUUUGUGAGCCAAAGCUUCACAUUUUAUUACUUUAGGACAAAUCUAAUCAUUGUACCCCCUUUUCCCAUUUCUUACCAACUUUCCCAUAUCACUCUUUGGCUACUUUCUUGCAUUUCUCUUUUCCAUUGUUUUAGUUCCUUGAGAAUGUGCACCUUUUCUUGCUCCAUCUUGCCCACCCCCCACGUUAUCCAGCCACACUUUUGCAUAGGAGGUUGGCAACUUCUGUUUCCCUAGCCUCAGUGCACCCAUUGCACUGGGAAGAACCCAUUGUGGAACAAAACCAGUGACAGUGUCAUCAGAAAAAUGUGUUUCCUAACACACUGAUACCUUGUGUAUGCUAAGUUGCCUGAGGAUAAGGAGACCUGCCUUUGUUAACCCUGUGCAGUGCAGUUUCAGGAUCACAUGUAGGCUUUGAGUUCUCCCCAGUCAGAGUCUCCCAGAUCACUAUACCUUAGGAACAUUAGGCACUUUGGAAGGCUGUGCCCACCCUUUUAGGUCAUUAGAUUUUUCUUCUCAAACAGUAGUCAGCCUCAUUUCUGUUGUACCCAAUGGUAGGAACCACUCCCUACUCUUACUCUCUCCACUCUCCCAGGUCUCACCACUCAGCCCCAGUCCUGGCUGCUUUAAGGGUGCUUGAAAGCUGAGAUAGUAAAAGGGGGAAGAACUUGAAUGAUAUCUUUCUUGGCUUAAGUUUGUGGUUGGUGAUCAUGGUAGCAAUAGUCAUACUGGCAGCAUUUAGGGGCAAGAAACUGGGAGAGGCGGUGAAACAGCAGCAGUGUGUAUGCAUGUGUACAUAGUGACAAACGGGACGGACUGUAGCUGCAGGUUUUCAUCGAUACUCUUAAGCAUUUUGUGCACCUGGCUGUUAGAACAUUGAAAAAAUGCGGUCAUUCUCCCAUCUAGGGAAUUCUCAUCUGAGCUUCUUUGAUAAAAUAGCUUAAGGACAAAUACAGGCAGAUUAAUAUAUGAAGAAAGGUGUUUGAAGUUCAAUAAAGGAGAAACUGAUUUAGAAGUAGAAAGAAAGACAGGUUGUUAGGUGUUUCUCAGGCCCACAGUUGCUUUCAUGAUGAGAGGAAAAUUCAAGAACGGUUGAAAUUGUUGGCACACCCUGACAGGCUAGUGGUGUUGUAGGAAGGGAAGGAGGCCAGGGAUUUAAGAAAAUGAUGGUAAGUGGAAUUUGGUUCUAAGUGGGCAAUUUGCUUUCUAGUCAUGACUCUUAAGGAAGAGUUGGUCUACAGAAAGGGCGAAGACCAGCAGAAAUGUACUGUAAAAUUGCCAAAUAUGUUUGAUUGAUAAAACACAGACUGACUCUUUGUGGCUAGAUAUGAUUUCCAACUUCUGAAAGAUUGUUGAGAGAUAAUGGUCUUUACAACAUGCAGCUCCUCUCCUCAACUCUUGCUCUUAAAAACUUGGGGGGUAGAGGGCAAGUGAACCAUAUUGUUCCAAAAGACAAUGUGAAUAGUCAUUAUUUCUCUUUGUCUGGGUUGUGACUGGCUUGUAAGUUAGUUAUUAGUGUUUGAUAAAAAUCUGGCAUAUGCUAAGAAUUCAGCUUGGUUGCUAGCUCAGGUUAUGAGAGCUGUGACCUUCAAGAGGUCUCUAGUGUUGGGGAAUCUGUGGUUUCUGGUCAUCCAAAAAGGACAGUUUCUAAUUCUACUUUAUUUUCUGCCUACUCAACUCUCCACACUUCCCUCUUAGUAGAGGAAUCAAUAAUCUUCCCUGCAUCUGCUCUGUUGAUUUUGUUAUCCAUGUUCUGUAUCUCAAGUUUUCCUGAAGCAUAGGAACAGGUUUGAUGCCAGAACCCCCUUUUUUAAAAAAUCAGAAUCAGAAACACUACCCACUUUGCUCUCUCUGCCACUUUAUCAAAGUCUCUGAAGUUCUUUUGCAAGAGAGACAGCUCCUCCUCCUAGGACUUUUAAACAAUCAUUUUUGCAAGUUUGUCACUACAUUUUUCCUCACAUUUCUCAGGUUCCUAAGCUACAUCCUAGCAGGCCAACCAGGAACCCUGCAUUGAAUGUUCCCAGCUUUCUUGACUUUUUUCUGGUGGUAGCCUUUGGGCCUCCUUUGAGCAGGCCCUGGCUAGCCAAGAAAGAUGUCAUUCAAGUUCUUCCCCCUUUUACUGUCUCAGCUUUCAAGCACCCUUAACUCUUCCUCCUACCUUUUCCUCAGUAUUUCAAGUUCUCUUGGGAGGGAAGAAGUUCUUGAUCAAAAGUCCCAAAACCACUACCAGUUUGGGGUAGAUAGAGGAAUAAGGAGGUCAAUCAGUGCUGGGCUUCUUGGAAAGGGGACUGUAUGGUUAUGUUCUUAUUUUUGGUGAGGGACUGAGGACUCUCAAGCCCUCAGGCUCAUCCAUAUUUUAGUGUAAAAAGAAAAAAACAUUCCAAAGCCAAGUAGAAGUGAUUUUUCUACUAAAUCUAUUCUUUAUGACUCUUGCUGUCCCUGAUCUCCUAACAUUAAUUAUAGAGAAUGGGUGGUUGACUCAGUUACAUUUUUUUUUUGUCAGAAAGGAAGGUAAUUUUCAUAACCAAAAGAAGUGUGAAGUAACUAUAUCACUGCUUGAAGUGUGAAAAGAGGAAAGGAGUGUUACGUGAACCUUUCCAGUAGAAAAUUCAGGAAGUUGAAUGAUUCAUCCAUAGGCAUAAUUCUUUUAGAAGAUUCUGUGCUCAAAGGGAAUGGAAUGGUUUCUGACCCUUCUGAAGAGAUAAAGAAUAACAUUUUUUCUUAAAUUUAACCCACUUUCAGCAUGGGGAAUACAGAACUUUUUCUUCUAGCUGAUGACAUUAAUAUUUCUUGAGAAGAGGGAGAACCCACCCACGGCACAUUUCUGAGCCCAGCAGAAAUCAGCAAGCUUGGGCUUCUCUUAGCAGGUUUGCGGAUGACUUCAACAUGCAGGUUUUUCACAUGUGCAAUAACGCUGGAAACAGAAACACCAAACUGAAUGUGCAACUACUCCUUUUGUAUAAGAAGCCAAAAUCCUCCUCUUCCCCUUCUCCCAUAUUCAUUCCUCUGGGAUAAUAAGUCUCCCUCUUGUUUCUCUGUGUCUGUCUGUCUGAUUGAUUAGAAACGGCUGCCCUUCCAAGCUAAAUAGGGUCGGGUGGAGAGUAGAGCAACCUUCCCUUGCAAGGGGACAACUUGAGGUGCUGGUACAUUUCUCUUGUUUUCUAUGUUGUUCUUUCUAGUAGGUCCCAUGUAGAGAUAGAGCUAUUUUUGUUUUAGAGAUUCCAAAGUAUAUAUUUUUAGUGUAAGAAAUGUACCCUCUCCACACUCCAUGGUGUAAAUAGAACUGGGAAUAAAUGUGUCAUUGUGAUAAUCCCAUAGCAAUUUGUGGUAGGAACAAGACUCCUUUUCCAAUCUGUGUCUGUGACCUAGGGCAGGUAAUUGUGACACUGCAUCUCCUAGACCUCUGCCUGCCCAGGCUUGUGUAUACUCACCUCAACGGUGAAAAUAAAAUCUGUAGAAACUGUGUACCUGUAGUGUUCUUUGAGCCUGAAUCAAGGGGCUGAGCCACUGUUGAGCAGUUGCAGAACUUGUGAAGAAUUAUGAAGAUGGGUGAAACAAAGGUGUGGUGGUAUUGCUGAGAUGCUUUGAG